GAUUUUUCUUAAAUUGCGCAUGCUCGCUAACUUUAUGAGUCUGUAGGAUGUCCCAUCUGUUGAUUUUCAGCUCUGAAGUGUGCUCAACAACAACUUAGAGAUCCUCUGUAAGCGACUGGCGUUGUGCAGCCUAUUGUGUGUGGCUAAAGGUAAAUGUGUGUGUGAGGUGGAUGGGUUUGUGGGUGCCAAAGGAUUGGAAUACUUGAUGAAUUCAGUGAAUAUCCUGUGAUUGCCAUUAACAGAUGUAAUGACCACAAACGCAAGCAAUAAAAAUCCAGCCACAGCACCAAGACCAAUGAACACGUUCCGAAGACUCGACUCUGGACCAUCUCAUGUGUCGGGUGUUAACCAGCGACCCGUCAUUGAUUUCUGGUCUUAUUCCAAUCAAGUGACACAUUAGAGGGUAAACGUUGACUGUCUCAAAUGGUCCAACCAACAAGUUCCUGUGAAAAUCUGGUCCCACUGCCCUGAAAAAAGGCUUCAUGUCCAUCACUUCAUUGUCAUAGCCAUGUUCUCCUUUAUUGUUCUGGAAUACGUAGAAC
rnacentral:lncRNA from 1 species